rnacentral:rRNA from 1 species
GACGAACGCUGGCGGCGUGCCUAAUACAUGCCAGUUGAGCGCUGAAGGUUGGUACUUGUACCGACUGGAUGAGCAGCGAACGGGUGAGUAACGCGUGGGGAAUCUGCCUUUGAGCGGGGGACAACAUUUGGAAACGAAUGCUAAUACCGCAUAAAAACUUUAAACACAAGUUUUAAGUUUGAAAGAUGCAAUUGCAUCACUCAAAGAUGAUCCCGCGUUGUAUUAGCUAGUUGGUGAGGUAAAGGCUCACCAAGGCGAUGAUACAUAGCCGACCUGAGAGGGUGAUCGGCCACAUUGGGACUGAGACACGGCCCGAACUCCUACGGGAGGCAGCAGUAGGGAAUCUUCGGCAAUGGACGAAAGUCUGACCGAGCAACGCCGCGUGAGUGAAGAAGGUUUUCGGAUCGUAAAACUCUGUUGGUAGAGAAGAACGUUGGUGAGAGUGGAAAGCUCAUCAAGUGACGGUAACUACCCAGAAAGGGACGGCUAACUACGUG